rnacentral:rRNA from 1 species
AUUGAACGCUGGCGGCAUGCCUUACACAUGCAAGUCGAACGGCAGCACGGGGGCAACCCUGGUGGCGAGUGGCGAACGGGUGAGUAACACAUCGGAACGUGCCCAGUAGUGGGGGAUAGCUCGGCGAAAGCCGGAUUAAUACCGCAUACGACCUACGGGUGAAAGCGGGGGAUCGCAAGACCUCGCGCUAUCGGAGCGGCCGAUGUCAGAUUAGGUUGUUGGUGGGGUAAAGGCCACCAAGCCGACGAUCUGUAGCUGGUCUGAGAGGACGACCAGCCACACUGGGACUGAGACACGGCCCAGACUCCUACGGGAGGCAGCAGUGGGGAAUUUUGGACAAUGGGCGCAAGCCUGAUCCAGCCAUGCCGCGUGCGGGAA